UCAGAAUCUUUCAGCCCCAGCGCAAACCUACUCAAUCGGAAGCAGUGUUUAACCAGAUGCCCAGGUGGUGAGUGCAUUUUAAAAUCUGAGAAGCCCUGGUCUGUUCCUUUCUCCUCCCCACCCUACCUUCCAGCUAUACCCAAUUACACCUUGAUGGCCCAUCCCCGGAAGCAGCUUCUGGCUCCUCCUGAACUAUUUACCGAAAGGCUUAUCUUCCCGUGCUCCUUCCCGCCAGAUUUCAUUCUGUUUAUAAAUAUGGAAGCUGAAAUGUAAACCACAUUGAAAUCCUUCUCCCAAAGGCCGGCCGUCCCGGUUAUUUUAGACCUUGUAGAUGUGCCCUGAAAUGCCUCAUCUCAGGGAGGGUGAGAAGAGCCUCUCUUGAGCAAGUGUGGUGUCUGCUUCUAGUGCUGUUUAUGGCAAAACUGGAAACUGUCUUCGAAAUUAACAAUAGAUGUGCAUAAAUCUUCUUCAGUUACCUAGCAACUAAUACAAGACAACGCAGAGGUUCACAGGCUGGGUGGAGCAACCCUUUUUUGGAGGAUACAGGCAGAAGAAAAGGGUGAUUUUGCUGGAAAAUGAAGAGUACCUGGUGCAAGACCAGAGAUCAGCGAACGAAGCCCACAGGCCAAAUUUGACCACGCCUUUUUGUACACAGUUUUGCCAACACGGAGUCACUCAUUUCUCUAUGAUCCUUGUUGCACUCCUGUUGGCAGAGUUGAGUCAUUGUGAUAAAGACUGCAUGACCCUCACAACCUGUAAUAUUUACCAUUUGGCUCUUCACAGAAAAAGUCCACCAACCUUGGUUUAGAGCAUUAAAACACAGUAACUUUUCCACAUGGCCUGCCACGGGGGAGAUCAAUGUCAUAAGGCUUUCUUUACGAAGUGGUUAACUGUAGUCAAAGAUUUUUUGUGCCUAAGAGUCAACCCUCAUCAACACCUUAAUUACCGUUCUGUUUUGUUUUCACCACGAAUUUACAUCUGCCACAAUCAAGAGGAAGGCAGUCUUUCUUAGAAGCUUGGCUCAUCCUUCUAGAAUUACAAGGAAUAGAAUACUGCGCAUCUGAUAAGGCCUUUGGGACAAGGCUGCCGAGGGCUCACCCAUAUCUGUGCUUGAUUCUAGGCAUAAGGCUAGAAGGCAUGUCCCAGUUUCCUUGCAGUAAGAGGGGACCAAAUCUUGAAUUUUUGCUGACGGAUUUAAGUGAAAAUUUGUCAGCAUCCCCACACCCUAGUUAAUCACUCCUCAUUAAUCCUGCAUAUACUCUCCUCUUCCUUGCCUGGAGGAUACAAACAACCCAGUGGGGGGCUCUGAAGUUUAGAGCAAGCUGUCCAAAAGAACUUUCUGGAACAGUGGGAAACUUCUAUUCGGCUCUGUUCAGUAGCGUAGCAUCUAGCCGCAUGUGGCAAUUAUGCACUGGAAAUGUGGCUAGCGCAACUGAGGAGGUGAGUUUUUACUUUUGAUGAGUUUAAAUGGUGGGUAAAACUAGUUAGUGCCCCCAUUGGACACUGCAGUUCUCCAAGAUCGGAGAUCCGAAGCCUGAGGUCUGGGUGGAGCAGAGCACCUUCUUCCUUCCCCUUUCUCCACCCCUUCCCCUUCCAUCUCCUGUUCCACUUGCAUUGGAUUGGGAUGUGAGCAAGAAAUAACAGCUCUUUGGAUAGAGAAUUGCUUUUUGGCGAGGCAGCCCUGACUAAUACAGACACACGUCCUGGAAACCACUUUUAUGAAGAGAGGACGAUUCAGCCCGCUACUCAUCCGUUUUACAAGCUCAAGGAAGGCCUCUACCGCGAUCGAGUUUUUAACCUCGUCUGUGGUGUUAAUUAUCCUGUUCAAAAGAUGAAAAAAGUGGCUUCGUGGGCCAGAGAGCAAGUGGCUUCCUUAGUGGUUUGGCCAUACCGAUCCCAGCGAUAAGCUAGAGAAAGAGCCAUCUGGUUUGGUGAUUUUUGGCUUCGAAGAGGAGAACAUAAACGAAAAGUGUAAGUUUUAAUACUCAGGAGAUCGGAUUCUGUGCUAAAGAGGAAAUGACUCCACGCCCACGAGGAUUCGGCCAAGAAAGGGGCCAGACUGUGCUGUGGGGGGAGAGGCGGGGAGGUAGUUCUCAACGGGGCUGUGCACGUCACUCACCGUUCCUUUCAUUCAUUGCUAAUAAUGGACUGGAGCAGGACAACUGGUCUCUCUUUCUUUGGUAUCAUCAGGGAGAGGGUUUUGCCAAUUUCAGUCCAAAGCUGGAAGGGCUAGGAUGACACACGCUGUCUCACCUCCUUUGUGUGGCCCACUAGUUUCCAGGCAAAGCAUCAUCACAACACCUCUUUCUUUGUAAAGAGGACCCACCUGGUAAUCAAACAGACCUCUACCCAAAAUUUCAAGUCUAUCACGUACUUGGACAGGUCACUUCACUUCUCCGAGCCUUGUUUUCUUGGUCUUUAGGGAUAAUAACACAUCCACCUCACAGAGCUAUUCUAGCAAGAAUAAAAUGAGCUUUGCCUACGAAAGCAGUUAGGACAGGGCUUCAUACAGAGUCAGACCUCUGGGGACACUGAGGGUUUGGAACAUGUAAUUCCAAGCCUGGCCCCUCAAGGAGGGGCAUCAAGGCGGUCCCGCCGUGAGCAUGUCGGUGUACGUGCUUAUCACUACAGUGCUUCUCAAACUCCAACAUGCAUUCAGAUUGGCUGCGGAUUGUGUUUAAAUGCAGAUUCUGAGUGAGUAGGAGCAUGUAAUUUAAAUGAGUUUCCAGGUAAUUUCAAAGCUGCUGGUCACUGGUACCACCUUUGAAGAACGGGAAGUUCGAGUCUUGUCCCGCUCUGUGUUUCCCACUCCUGGCACCUCCGUAGGUGAGCUGAUCUGCCUACUUUGAGUAGGUGGGGGAAGUCAUAAAAUGAAGGUAGUGGAGAGUUAGCGGCCGGAAGGAGAACCUAGGCAGAUGAGUACAGACAUCGCGGAAAAAGAGAUGGGUUAGAGGUUUCCAACCCUGACUAGACUUGAAGCUCACCUGGAGAGCUUUAAAAACUCUCCGUUGUCAAGUCUCACCCCAGGAAUACAGAUUUAAUUGAUUGGGAUGGGGCCAGACGUGACAUAUUAAAGGAAAUAACUCCCCAGGUUAUUCUCAUACGCAGUCAGGGUUGAGAACUGCUGGGCUAGACAAAAGAGGCCACUUUCCCAGCUGGAAAGAAUCUGGAAGGGGUCUUAUCAAGAUAUUAAAUCAGGGUUGAUUUUGAGGGGCUGCUAGUUGGAAAAAAAAAAAAAGCAUCAUGGAAAUUUAAGUAAGAGAAGCCAUUUGGUUGAAACCUUGAAAACUCAGAUCCAUUUGAUGAAGCUGUUAAUGAAAACACUAAAUCUGCCUUGCCUAAAAUGGUAUCUUUGCUCUGGGCCUCUGAAGCAAUUUGUCUGUUGAGAAGCCAAGGGUAAAUGGGAAACGUGAAAUCCAUGCCAUUUUUUGGAAUCCGAGGCUCUUUUUCUUUCAUUAACGUUGUGGAUUUGAUUGUCCUCUGUGCUCACAGAGGCUAUUGAAGGAUUCUUACUGGAGCACAGAAGCCAGCUUUGGCUGGUAGCAUUAACUAGGUCUUGGUCCAGUAGGCCUCUAUGGGUGGGGAGGGGGUAAGGGGCGGAAGAAAUGAGCCCAGCACCGAUAGUCCAACAAAUUCAGACCGAUGAGCAUAGUUUUGCUGUGAUCGAGUGUAUACUUCUGAAGCCCAGGUGUAGACUGCCUCUUUGUCACCAGAAGCCAGCUCAGAAUUGGCCCUUUGCCAGCUCUGACACAAAGCUCAGCCCCAUUCCAGAAUCCAGGCGUGCCAAGCGUCUGCAAAUAUUGUGGUUUCACCUAAGAUUCCUAUGUCUUGGGUUGGGGGCACAUCAGCCACUGAACAACACCUUGGGCAAUCCCCGUUAGAAAUCCUCUCCCCCAGAAUGCCUGUGCAGGCAGCCAAUCAGGAGAUUCUCCCCCAUGACCAUGCCCCAUACCCUUUGUUAAGUCCUUUGGAGCAGAGUUUGGCUCUGUCCUAGCUGCUCCACACGAGGCUGCCCUUACUCAGGCAUAGAUAGCAAACACAAGUCUUUCUAGAAGGCUCCCCCCCCCCUUCCUUAGGUAAACACGUUUCCCCUGUUAUCUCAGAGUAGAGUCUUCCCGUGAAACCUUUCGUAAGCCAAGAGGGUGGGAAGCAAGGAAGCAAUCACCGUUUCAUAAAUGCAAACCUCGUCUUCAGAUUUCUUGCGCUUAGUGCAAACGGGUACUAGUGCAGGUCUUUUGUAAUAGUAAAGGGACAUAAAGGGAGUUUUUUGGAAAGCGGGGGAGCCCUGUAUAUUCGAAACUGUUACCUGGAUGUUGA